CCUACGGGUGGCAGCAGUGAGGAAUAUUGGUCAAUGGGCGCGAGCCUGAACCAGCCAAGUAGCGUGAAGGAUGACUGCCCUACGGGUUGUAAACUUCUUUUAUAAAGGAAUAAAGUGAGGCACGUGUGCCUUUUUGUAUGUACUUUAUGAAUAAGGAUCGGCUAACUACGUGCCAGCAGCCGCGGUAAUACGUAGGAGGCGAGCGUUAUCCGGAAUGACUGGGCGUAAAGGGUUCGUAGGUGGUUUGGCAAGUUAGUAGCGUAACUCCAAGGCUCAACCUUGGAACUACUACUAAAACUGUUGGACGUGAGUGCAGGAGGGGCAACCGGAAUUCCUAGUGUAGCGGUGGAAUGCGUAGAUAUUAGGAGGAACACCAGUGGCGAAGGCGGGUUGCUAGACUGUAACUGACACUGAGGCACGAAAGCGUGGGGAGCAAACAGGAUUAGAUACCCUUGUAGUC
rnacentral:rRNA from 1 species